rnacentral:ncRNA from 2 species
GAGUCUGAGUGAAGGGAGAGAAGGUUGGCACUUCCCUUGAUAAGAAUGGAAGAGGUCAGGGAUCCCUGGGUGGCGCAGCGGUUU